UUUCGCCCUUAGAGUUUGAUCCUGGCUCAGGACGAACGCUGGCGGCGCGCCUAACACAUGCAAGUCGAACGAGCGAGAGAGAGCUUGCUUUCUCGAGCGAGUGGCGAACGGGUGAGUAACGCGUGAGGAACCUGCCUCAAAGAGGGGGACAACAGUUGGAAACGACUGCUAAUACCGCAUAAGCCCACGACCCGGCAUCGGGUUGAGGGAAAAGGAGCAAUCCGCUUUGAGAUGGCCUCGCGUCCGAUUAGCUAGUUGGUGAGGUAACGGCCCACCAAGGCAACGAUCGGUAGCCGGACUGAGAGGUUGAACGGCCACAUUGGGACUGAGACACGGCCCAGACUCCUACGGGAGGCAGCAGUGGGGAAUAUUGCACAAUGGGGGAAACCCUGAUGCAGCGACGCCGCGUGGAGGAAGAAGGUCUUCGGAUUGUAAACUCCUGUUGUUGAGGAAGAUAAUGACGGUACUCAACAAGGAAGUGACGGCUAACUACGUGCCAGCAGCCGCGGUAAAACGUAGGUCACAAGCGUUGUCCGGAAUUACUGGGUGUAAAGGGAGCGCAGGCGGGAAGACAAGUUGGAAGUGAAAUCCAUGGGCUCAACCCAUGAACUGCUUUCAAAACUGUUUUUCUUGAGUAGUGCAGAGGUAGGCGGAAUUCCCGGUGUAGCGGUGGAAUGCGUAGAUAUCGGGAGGAACACCAGUGGCGAAGGCGGCCUACUGGGCACCAACUGACGCUGAGGCUCGAAAGUGUGGGUAGCAAACAGGAUUAGAUACCCUGGUAGUCCACACCGUAAACGAUGAUUACUAGGUGUUGGAGGAUUGACCCCUUCAGUGCCGCAGUUAACACAAUAAGUAAUCCACCUGGGGAGUACGACCGCAAGGUUGAAACUC
rnacentral:rRNA from 1 species